AAGAUCAAUAUUUUUCUGUAUUUGAACCAUACAUAAACUUUAAAAAGCUAUCAUCUAGGGAAUCUGCUGGGCAAAACACUCGAUACAAUUCUCUCACACUUGCUUUCAUUGCUGUUCUCGGAUUUUCUUCGGAAGUAUUGUGCAAAUUAUUACUAUUAUUUCUGUGUUAAGCUACGAGAGACGACGACAGCAUCGCACAUGCCACAAACUGUACUUAUUUACACGUGCGACUCUCAACGAUCAUGAUGAUGAUGAUCAGCAACACAAUGUUGACCAAUGCUGAUGAUGAUAAUGAAGUGCUAAAGCAACUGGCAUUUGUCGCAGUAUUGAGCACAUAAGUUCUUGGUCAUUGAUUUCCAAGCAAGGCCUAAACAGAUGUACGCCAGAUAGUCAAAGGGGCAAUCAAAGAGAAUUUCUAAUUUGAUGCUGUUUAAACUUGAGUAUGCCGUUGCCGUUGCCGUUGGCCAAAGCAUUCUUCAAUUAAGCAGCGAAGACAUGCAACUACUACUAACCGAAAGCCCAAAGACGCGGCAGUUAACCAAAAUUGCAUCAUUUAUCUGGAUAAGAUUUCUUUUGCCUCGUUCUCUCUGUCUGUCUUUUCCAAAAAAAAUAAAA